AUUGAACGCUGGCGGCAUGCUUUACACAUGCAAGUCGAACGGGAACAGGUCUUCGGAUGCUGGCGAGUGGCGAACGGGGGAGUAAUACAUCGGAACGUGCCUAGUAGUGGGGGAUAACUACUCGAAAGAGUAGCCACUACCGCAUUAGAUCUACGGAUGAAAGCAGGGGACCUUCGGGCCCUGUGCUACUAGAGCGGCCGAUGGCAGAUUAGGUAGUUGGUGGGGAAAAGGCUUACCAAGCCUGCGAGCUGUAGCUGGUCUGAGAGGACGACCAGCCACACUGGGACUGAGACACGGCCCAGACUCCUACGGGAGGCAGCAGUGGGGAAUUUUGGACAAUGGGCGAAAGCCUGAUCCAGCAAUGCCGCGUGCAGGAUGAAGGCCCUCGGGUUGUAAACUGCUUUUGUACGGAACGAAAAGCCUGGGGCUAAUAUCCCCGGGUCAUGACGGUACCGUAAGAAUAAGCACCGGCUAACUACGUGCCAGCAGCCGCCGUAACAC
rnacentral:rRNA from 1 species